AACGUACUCCCUCCGUCCGAAAAUACUUGUCAUCAAAAUGUAUAAAAAGAUAUGCAUCUCAAACUAAAAUAUAUCUAGAUACAUCCCAUUUUAUUCAUUUUGAUGACAAGUAUUUCCGGACGGAGGGAGUACUAA
rnacentral:pre_miRNA from 1 species